rnacentral:rRNA from 1 species
UACGUAGGGCGCAAGCGUUUAUCCGGAAUUAUUGGGCGUAAAGAGCUCGUAGGCGGUUUGUCGCGUCUGCCGUGAAAGUCCGGGGCUCAACUCCGGAUCUGCGGUGGGUACGGGCAGACUAGAGUGAUGUAGGGGAGACUGGAAUUCCUGGUGUAGCGGUGAAAAUGCGCAGAUAUCAGGAGGAACGCCGAUGGCGAAGGCAGGUCUCUGGGCAUUAACUGACGCUGAGGAGCGAAAGCAUGGGGGAGCGAACAGG